rnacentral:rRNA from 1 species
CAGUAGCCGCGGUAAUACGUAGGGUGCGAGCGUUAAUCGGAAUUACUGGGCGUAAAGCGUGCGCAGGCGGUUUUGUAAGAUAGGCGCGAAAUCCCCGGGCUCAACCUGGGAAUGGCGCUUGUGACUGCAAAGCUAGAGUGCAGCAGAGGGGGAUGGAAUUCCGCGUGUAGCAGUGAAAUGCGUAGAUAUGCGAAGGAACACCGAUGGCGAAGGCAAUCCCCUGGGCCUGCACUGACGCUCAUGCACGAAAGCGUGGGGAGCAAACAGGAUUAGAUACCCCCGUAGUCCCUGUCUCUUAUAC